rfam:Triticum urartu cultivar G1812 contig133104, whole genome shotgun sequence.
CAUAUACUCACUUCGUUUCAAAUUACUUGUCACAGAAAUGAAUGUAUCUAGAACUAAAAUACAUCUAGAUACAUUCAUACAUGCGAUAAGUAAUUCGGAACGGAGGGAGUAAAAG